GCCUACUUCCUCUUCCACCGCUUCUUUUGCCUCAAAGACUGACCUCCAUUCACUCACCCAAAGGUCAAAAUCUACACUUUUCCAAUAGCUUCAGAGAGAUUGCUGUGAAACCCACCGACCUCGAAUUGAAUUCCUUGGUUACUUGCAGCUAUCUCUAGUGGUUGGAAUUGUUGAUUAUCGAGUGGGUAUUGGCAUUUUGAUUUGGGUUGCCGCUUGUAGCAGUGGAUUGGGGUUUUGUUAGCCGCUGAACUAAGGCUUGAGGAAAGACGUCCAUGAGUGGACGUGGUAGUGAGAUACCAGAAUUGUCUUGAGCAGAAAAUGUUGGAGCUUUGUUUUGCUUGUGAAGUGUGUGC